rnacentral:rRNA from 1 species
AGCAAGCGUUGUUCGGAUUUACUGGGCGUAAAGGGCGCGUAGGCGGCCUACUAAGUCAGACGUGAAAUCCCCCGGCUUAACCUGGGAACUGCGUCUGAUACUGGAAGGCUUGAGUAUGGGAGAGGGAUGUAGAAUUCCAGGUGUAGCGGUGAAAUGCGUAGAUAUCUGGAGGAAUACCGGUGGCGAAGGCGGCAUCCUGGACCAACACUGACGCUGAGGAGCGAAAGCCAGGGGAGCAAGCGGG